UACAGAGGGUGCGAGCGUUGUUCGGAAUUAUUGGGCGUAAAGCGCACGUAGGCGGCUUUCUAAGUCGGGGGUGAAAUCCUGGAGCUCAACUCCAGAACUGCCUUCGAUACUGGAGAGCUUGAGUCCGGGAGAGGUGAGUGGAACUGCGAGUGUAGAGGUGAAAUUCGUAGAUAUUCGCAAGAACACCAGUGGCGAAGGCGGCUCACUGGCCCGGAACUGACGCUGAGGCGCGAAAGCUAGGGGAGCAAACAGG
rnacentral:rRNA from 1 species